rnacentral:rRNA from 1 species
CCUACGGGAGGCUGCAGUGGGGAAUAUUGCGCAAUGGGCGAAAGCCUGACGCAGCGACGCCGCGUGAGGGAUGAAGGUCUUCGGAUCGUAAACCUCUGUCAGCAGGGAAGAACGGUCACUGUGCUAAUCAGCAGUGAAUUGACGGUACCUGCAAAGGAAGCACCGGCUAACUCCGUGCCAGCAGCCGCGGUAAUACGGAGGGUGCGAGCGUUAAUCGGAAUUACUGGGCGUAAAGCGCUCGUAGGCGGUAUGUCAAGUAAAGGGUGAAAUCCCCGCGCUCAACGUGGGAACUGCCUUUGAAACUGGCAAACUGGAGUGUGGGAGAGGAUAGUGGAAUUCCAGGUGUAGGAGUGAAAGCCGUAGAUAUCUGGAGGAACAUCAGUGGCGAAGGCGACUAUCUGGCACAUAACUGACGCUGAGGAGCGAAAGCGUGGGUAGCAAACAGGAUUGGAUACCCCUGUAGUC